GCGGGAACGAGUGCGUGGAAACAGGGGCUGCGGGAAGGCCAGCUCUUCCCUCCCAGACGCCGCUCCCAAACACCAGCUCGUAACUGGGCCUGGCGGCGAUAUUUCCACGGCUGGUCCGAUGCCUGUCUCAUUUUGGGCAGGCAGCUCUGCGAAGCCUGAUUCCUUGAAAGCAAAGCCUGACACAGGGGCCUUUACAUAGGCAGUUUGUUUGGGAGGUGAUUCCAAGCUGCAGAAAUGACAGUGGGAGAGAGUGAUGAUUAGCAGAAGAAGGAAAGGCAACAGGAGGAAGCUGCAUCCGUGCAGCUGCUGCUGCGGCCGUGCGGGCUCCGUUCUGCUGGACGUCCCGAGAUGCCCACCCCCAGGAAUCGCCCACAGGGAGGCUGGGGGCCAGAGCACUUAUUCAUGGCGAAGGGCUGUCCUGGGGGUAUAAAUGUUUCCUCCACUCCUCCUUUGAGCUGCGUGCCUGAAUUCCCUGGGCUCCUGUCUAUCUCUGAGGCUUACCAGCAGGGCCCAGUGGAAGAUGAAAACGUGCUGAAAGUUAUUAAGAAUUUCAAGGUGAUGACAGCAGGGCAUCGAGCCACGCGUGGGCCUGCGUGGCUGUCCAGAUCCCAUAGAAUGUUCAGGUCAUUUUCAGAUACUCAGGAGUUCAGUGCUGUCUUCGGUCAAAAUCCAAGCUUGCGUCUGCUCACUGCCCGGCCUGGCGGGGCCGGGAGCCCUGCAGAGACCUGCGUCUCUCCUGCGUCUCCCUGGUGGCCUCCGUGUCUUCCUCACUCUACAGGUCGUGUUGGCCCCUUCGGGGAGCGAGGCGGUGGUGGAGAAGGUCUCCCUGCUUGACGGUACAGAUGCGACUGGGCGCAAGCGCCCUCUGUGCUGAGACCCCAGGGCUCCUCUUCCUCCCAAGGGGCCCCCCCUUCCUCCCAAGGGGCCCCCCUGGGUUCCUUGGAGCCCCUCCCACUGGGGACAGCCACCUGCGGUUUUCUGGUGUGGGUGUCGCCGUCCUCCCAGCCCACGGCUGGCGUUCACCUCGGUCCUCUUCUGCUGACGUCGCCCACCCUGCACCGCCCCCACUCCAGGGGCCCCCUUGGAUAGAGGGGCUUCCAAGCCAUGGAAAUGAGGCAUCAAGCCGGGGUUCUCCCUUAGGGUCUGUGUUCGGACCUGGGGAAACCUGUCUUUCCUUCCCGCCUUUGGUACGAUUCACCCCAACUCAGUUUUCUCUUCCAUCUGCCAACACAGCCCUCCCCGACCCCAAGCCAGGGACGGCUUCCUUCCUUCAGACUUUCUUCCAGAUGUGAGUCAGAAGCCAGUUCCACACUCUUCCCCAACCCGAGGGACGUGUGUCCAAGCCGCUGGGAGCGUCUCGCAAGCUCAUCCAGGCUGGCCUGAGCAGCGGAGAGCUCGGAGGGCACUCCACCCAGGGCUGUUCCAGAGACGCCUCCCCUCUGUGGCUCCUUCCUAGGGGGAGCCUUCGCCUUCCCUGCCAUCUGGAAGGCGGCGAGAGGCCAAUGCCACAUGGGGAAUUCCCUGAGCCUCUGUCUAGGUCUGGGGUGCUGACGCCUGCUGCACGGGGCGAGAGGCUGGCAGGAGCCGGGGCGGUAAGGUCGUCCCACCUAGAGCCCUGCGGCACACGCGCUGCCCUGCGCAGCCUGGGGCCCCGUGGACUGAGGGCCCCAGUUCGCAUGUUGAAGCCCUGCGCACCCCCCAUGUGACUGUAUUUGGGGGUGGGCUUAUCACAGAAGUAAUCAGGGUCAGAUGAGGUCAUAAGGGUGGGGACAUGAUCCAGUAGGAUUAGUGUCCUUGUAAGAAGAGGCGACAGGGCUCUCUGUCUCUGCCGUGGGAGGACACGUUAGAAGGCGGCUGUCUGCAAGCCCGGAAGGGCGCCCUCGCCAGGAGCCAGACCUGCCAGCACCUGGUCCUGGACUUCCAGCCCCUGGGAGUGUGAGGAGUGACUGACACUGCCGAGGUCACCCAGUCUGCGGGGGCUGUCCCCAGCUGACAGGGAAAAGGACUCCGCUCGUUCCCCAGUGCUGCCCUCUUGGAUGUGGGCAUCUUCCGUCUCUUCACCCUCCCCCAGGAGACCCGAAUGUGCUCGCUCGCCUCUCGGAAUGGAAUCUAGUUUGUUCACAGAGCGGAGUCGCACCUGCCACAGGGACCGAGCUGCAGCACGAGGUGGAAACUGGAUGCACCUGUCAGUCUUGGAACGCACUGUGAUCUCUCGUGAAGUGGAAGGAUGGGGCGCGAGCCUCCAUGCUGUGUGCCUGGACGGCGGGUGCGGAGUUCACACUGACAACUCUCUUCAUCGCCUUUUCUUCCGAUUCAGCCCUUUGUUCCCACAUCCAUUGAUGUAUUCAGAACUGCUUACUGAUCUUAAAGCCUCUCCUCACACGAUCUUGACUAAUUAAAAGGGGAAAACAGAACCUGCAUGGUGGAGAAACCUGGCAGACACCAGCGACCGCAGGUGGCAUCUCAGCAACAAGUCAGUGAGCACCAUGCCCCGCCCGGGAGGACGCACUGAGGACACGGCGAGACUGUCACAUUCUCGCUCAAAAUGCACAUCCUCCACCUGACCUUGAGAAAACACCGGGCAGACCCAGCUGAGGAACAGUCUAUAACUACUAACCAGAACUCUUCAAAAGCAUCUACGUGGUGAAGGACAAAGACCGCGGAGUUAUCUCACAGCUGGGUGGGGACUAAGGAGACGUUUCGGCUGAAUGCGACGUGGGGUCUUGGGUGGGAUUCUGGGUCUGAUCCUGAGCCGACUCUGCUGUGUGUAUGUGUUUCCCGCACCACCCAGCGAUUGCCUCCGUUCUGACACUGCCUGCCUGGGGACAGUUAAGCCCGACAGGACUGCCCCCACCCCCUUCAGAUGCCACUUGCAAAGCCGGGUUGUCCCCUGUGCCUCAGCCCUACAGGCUGUAGACUGAAGGCUGCCAGGACCCCCUCCUCAGGUCCCAUUAAUUUGCUAGAGCGGCUCUCAGAACUCAGAGAAGCACUGACUUGUGUUUGCUGAGUUAGCAUAGAAGGUUGUCACGUGACUCGGGAACAGUCAGGUGGGAGAGACGCAGCAGGUAAGAUACGGGGAAAGGGCGAGCAUCUCCGGCGCGCCCUGAGCCCCCGCCGCCCCCAGGUCUCCACGUGGUCACCAACACAGAGGCUCUCCUAGCCCCGGCCUUCUGGGGUUCUGUGAAGGCUUCGUUACCUGGGCGUGGCUGAUUAAACCCCUGGCCCAACCCCUCCCCCUCCCGGGAGUUACGGGUGGGGGUGGAAUGAAAGUGACCACCCUGGAAUCGGAUCACAAGGUCGGUCCCCUGGCCACCAGUCCCCUUUCUUAGGUGACCUAGGGGCUUUUCAAAAGUCACCUCAUUAACCUGGCAAGAGAUACUUUCUACUGCUGUCGUAACAGAAAGUCCCAAGGCUUUAGGAGCGCUGAGCUGGGAAUGGGGACCAAGACCGAGUAUAUAUUUAGUAUCACAAAUCACACUGCACAGUGGGAAGCUGGUGACGUUCAAAUGAGGCCUGUGGGUCAGUUAAGAGCCCUGGGUCAACGAUCACAGCCUCCUUUCAAUCACUUCACUCCGAUUUUAUAAGAUUUCAACCCAAGGCGAUCUCCAGGCUGGGGGGACAGCAGUGGCAGGACCUGCACGCCCUCAGGGGCUCGGCGCUGG